UGAGCAAUCUGCCCUUCUCUUUGGAAUAAGCGUUGGAAACGACGUCUAAUGCCGAAUACGACCUCCUUUCGCAUGAUCGGAGGUGGAAAGCUCCGGCGGAGAAGGAUGAGCUCGCGGCCUAUCAGCUAGUUGGUGUGGGUAAUGGCCCACCAAGGCGACGACGGGUAGCCGGCCUGGAGAGGGUGACCGGCCACACUGGGACUGAGACACGGCCCAGACCUCCGUACGGGAGGCAGCG
rnacentral:rRNA from 1 species